UAAUUAAGCGGAGGAAAAGAAACCAACUCGGAUUCCCCUAGUAACGGCGAGUGAAGCGGGAAGAGCUCAUGUUGUAAAUCUGGAUGAGGAUUCCUCGUCCCGAAUUGUAGUCUAGAGAUGCGUGCUCAGCUACUCUCCAGGGCUAAGUCUGUUUGUGAAAGACAGCAUCAUGGACGGUGAUAAUCCGGUUCUUGCCUUGGAUGUUGUAGCGUCUUGAGCCGUCCUCAACGAGUCGAGUUGCUUGGGAUUGCAGCUCUAAGCGGGUGGUAAAUUCCAUCUAAAGCUAAAUAUUGGUGGGAGACCGAUAGCGAACAAGUACCGUGAGGGAAAGAUGAAAAGAACUUUGAAAAGAGAGUUAAAUAGUACCUGAAACUGCUGAAAGGGAAGCGAAUGAAGUCAGUGUUGCUCUUUGUUCUCUGCAUCCUCCCUGCGGGGAUUGUGUAUCGAGGACUUUGAGCUUGUCAGGAUGAGUUCUCUGCCGCGGGAUAUGGUUUGUGAGCUGGACGCUUCUGCUGAACUCACUCUCUCUGUCGUGGCUUGGACUGAGGUUCCAUCUUGCCGUUGCCUGCUUGUUGCUCUCCUGUUGCUGUUUCCGUCCUACUGCUUGCAGUGUUCGGUUGCAGUGAUUGGACUGUGCAAGUUAUGCAUGCAAGGUCAGGAUCCUGACGAAAUGGCUUUAUUUACCCCGUCUUGAAACACGGACCAAGGAGUCUAACAUACGUGCGAGUACUUUGGUGACAAACCAAUGUGCGCAAUGAAAGUAAAGGCUGGCUUCCGUCAGCUGAGGUGGGAUCCUUAUGGAGCACCAUCGACCGACCAUUAUUCCUUCGGGAUAAAGGUUUGAGUGUGAGCAUUUAUGUUGGGACCCGAAAGAUGGUGAACUAUGCCUGAAUAGGGCGAAGCCAGGGGAAACUCUGGUGGAGGCUCGUAGCGAUU
rnacentral:rRNA from 1 species